CCGAGGCGGUGGAGAGCCUGGAUCCCGGGGCCCCGGGCCGGACGGCGGAGAUGCCCCAAACUGACACGGCCGCCAUCUUGGAGACAAUGGGGAGACUGAGGCAUUGGGGGUUGGAUUUGGCUUCAGUGGCACUGGAAGCUGCCGUGUACCCGGGAUUCGCGCUCCAACACUGCCACAAACUCAUUUGCAAAGUGCUUUCCUCACGGCCCUUUGAAAAUGAAGAUGCAAAUGUUAUCAUCCCCAUUUUACAGGCAAUUUAAACCACAACCUUGGCUACCAUCUUGCUUCAGCCCUCAGUGGGAACAGAAAUCAAGACCCUGAAACCAAGAGCCUUGGGAAUUACCAGUGCCCCCCAAACCUGCUUGUGGUCCAACUUCUACAGCCAUCCAAGAGGGGAGACAUCAUUGUGGAGACAGGAUCCUUCCUCCUUAUCAUGACCAACGAUAAUUGCUGAUUAACCACCACCAACAGACAGAGGAGCUCUGGGAGUGGCAGGGCUGCUUCCAGCCCAGCUCUCACAGCCAUCAUCUGGGCAAGCAACUCCUGUGGAGAAGGGGUCAACCAUCUUCAGCAAUGGCCAAACAGUUGCCACACAUGGGUCAGGUAGGCCAAUCUAGCUGAAACAGCAAGCAAGAGGCAGGAGACAGCAUAUGCCAGGCAUCACCAGCACUUGGACCACCACUUCCUCUCAGCCCCUGAUGGGAUCAAUCCAGGAACCUGAACUCAAGAGCCCUAGGAAGAGUGACAUUAAAUAACGGCAUGAUUAAAGAGGCGUUAACAUCUGCUUUGGCCUAAAGACUGUGGGGUCUUUCCACGUGACUUACCACUGAAAGCUUCCAUAUGUGUUUUCUGUCCCGUUAGAAGGUGAUUUCCUUGAAAGCAAGAACUACUUUUCUAUUUGUA